AGUGCAACCUUAAGUAGGUGGUAAGUUCCAUCUAAGGCUAAAUAUAACCACGAGACCGAUAGUAAACAAGUACCGUGAGGGAAAGUUGAAAAGAACUUUGAAGAGAGAGUUAAAAAGUACGUGAAACCGUUUAGGGGUAAACGGAAAAGAACUGAAAAUCCGAAAAGGGAGAUUCACGUCUUCUCGUUUGUCUAAUAUAGUUAAUUGUAUGAUAACUAAAUGGCCUGUACAUUUUGUAUUAGUGCUACUAGUUGCUUACUAGACUAUAUUAGCAACGGUGGACCGCACUUCUCUCUUAGUAGGACGUCGCGACCUGCUAACUUAUAAUUUAAGAUCAAAUCUAUUAAAAGUUUUAUUAUAAUAAGAAUUUAAUUUUUAUUUAUAAUAAAAUGGUUUGUUUCUAAUUAAAUAGUUGGCAGUAUAAAACGACAGUGUCGAGCUGCUUAUAUUAAGCGUUUAACAAAUGAUAAAUUUUUUUAUUAUAAUUAAAUAUGGAUUUUAAUCUAUAUAAAUUAUUUAAAAUCAUUAUUAUUUUGUUUAAACAAGGCUUACAACACUAGUUGAAACAUCCAAGGAGUCUAACAUGUGCGCAAGUCAUUGGGUAAUAAAACCUAAAGGCGAAACAAAAGUAAAGAAAAGCUUUGCUUUUUAAGGGAAGAUGGUUAAAAUAUAUUUUAGCCCGCACUCCCGGGGCGUUAAUUACUCAUUGCGAGUAAAGGCGCACCUAGAGCGUACAUGUUGGGUCCCGAAAGAUGGUGAACUAUACCUGACCAGGAUGAAGCCAGGGGAAACCCUGGUGGAGGUCCGUAGCGAUUCUGACGUGCAAAUCGAUCGUCAGAGUUAGGUAUAGGGGCGAAAGACUAAUCGAACCAUCUAGUAGCUGGUUCCCUCCGAAGUUUCCCUCAGGAUAGCUGGUGCCGAUGAUGAUCAGAGUCUCAUCUGGUAAAGCGAAUGAUUAGAGGCCUUGGGGUUGAAACGACCUCAACCUAUUCUCAAACUUUAAAUGGAUGAGAGCCUUGGCUUUCUUAAAAAUGAAGCCAAGGAUUUGGAUCUAAGGUGCCAAGUGGGCCAAUUUUGGUAAUGUGGGAUGAACCAAACGUAAAGUUAAGGCGCCCGAAUCAACGCUCAUGAGACACCAUAAAAGGCGUUGGUUGCUUAAGACAGCAGGACGGUGGCCAUGGAAGUCGGAAUCCGCUAAGGAGUGUGUAACAACUCACCUGCCGAAGCAACUAGCCCUGAAAAUGGAUGGCGCUGUAGCGUUGUGCCUAUACUUUGCCGUCAACGGCAAAUAAAAUCUUUAAUACUAAGAAUUUUAUUAAGCCUUGAUGAGUAGGAGGGUCGCAGCGAUGAGCGUGGAAGGGUCUGGGCGUAAGCCUGCCUGGAGCCGUCGCUGGUGCAGAUCUUGGUGGUAGUAGCAAAUACUCCAGCGAGGCCCUGGAGGACUGUUGUGGAAGAAGGGUUUCUUGUGAACAGCUGUUGCACAAGAGUCAGUCGAUCCUAAGCUCUAGGAGAAAUCCGAUGUUGAUGGAUGCCAUAAGUUAAAUAAAAUUUGUGUGCAUACAUCGAGCGAAA
rnacentral:rRNA from 1 species